UACAGAGGGUGCUAGCGUUAAUCGGAAUUACUGGGCGUAAAGCGUGUGUAGGUGGUUAGAUAAGUUAGAUGUGAAAUCCCCGGGCUUAACCUGGGCAUUGCGUUUAAGACUGUUUAGCUAGAGUACUGUAGAGGAUAGUGGAAUUUCCAGUGUAGCGGUGAAAUGCGUAGAUAUUGGAAGGAACACCAGUGGCGAAGGCGACUAUCUGGACAGAUACUGACACUGAGACACGAAAGCAUGGGGAGCAACAGG
rnacentral:rRNA from 1 species